AUUGAACGCUGGCGGCAGGCCUAACACAUGCAAGUCGAGCGGAUGAAGGGAGCUUGCUCCUGGAUUCAGCGGCGGACGGGUGAGUAAUGCCUAGGAAUCUGCCUGGUAGUGGGGGAUAACGUCCGGAAACGGGCGCUAAUACCGCAUACGUCCUGAGGGAGAAAGUGGGGGAUCUUCGGACCUCACGCUAUCAGAUGAGCCUAGGUCGGAUUAGCUAGUUGGUGGGGUAAAGGCCCACCAAGGCGACGAUCCGUAACUGGUCUGAGAGGAUGAUCAGUCACACUGGAACUGAGACACGGUCCAGACUCCUACGGGAGGCAGCAGUGGGGAAUAUUGGACAAUGGGCGAAAGCCUGAUCCAGCCAUGCCGCGUGUGUGAAGAAGGUCUUCGGAUUGUAAAGCACUUUAAGUUGGGAGGGAGGGCAGUAAGUUAAUACCUUGCUGUUUUGACGUUACCAACAGAAUAAGCACCGGCUAACUUCGUG
rnacentral:rRNA from 1 species